AUUAUACUUUGGGUUGAUUGACAAAUAUCUUUCAGUUAAUUAUACUUUGGGUUGAUUGACAAAUAUCUUUCAGUUAUGAUUACUUAUUUUAGUGACAUAAUCAUUGUGUGAAACCUUGUAUUCAAUAUGCAUAACCAAUACUCACAUUGUAUCUGAUCAUUUUUAUUACUCAGUGUAUUUUACACGCAUUUAUAUAAAAGAUUAACCAAUAAUCACAAUAUAUCCUUUACACAUAUAGUAAAACAUUGUUUGAUAUGGCAUGUGACUAACACAGACUUUAUUAUAUGACAAAUUAACCCACAUGAUACAUUUACUAACACAUUAACAUAUAACAUAUGAGAUGUAGCUCAGGCUUGAAGUAUUUUGUUUAAUACUGCAUGACCCUAACUAACGGUCAUCAAUUCGACUGGUACGGGGCUAAAUUGCUACAAAAAAGGCUAUUAGAUCAAAGCAGCCUUUGGAUGAGUGAGUGCCUCCCUAAAAGACCUCUGCUUCAAAGCGGGGGGUGACGCACACACACAGAUAGUGCCACGAUGUUUCAUUCUGGAAGAACACAGUCAAGGCCAAACACUAGUGGUCCGGUCAGACACGUGAAACUUGAGUACUAACACGUGAAAUUAUGCAUAUUAACAUGAGCUAAUCGUUAGUAACGCCUCAUCAGCAGGUCUCACGUCAUUUUGGGUAUAAAACAUGGAGUCAGAUCAGAGGGGGGUCAGAACUUAUGCUGGGACGGCUGUUAGACGGUCUUUCAUGUGUGGGUUCUCCUGAAUAUUCAGUACUUUGUAAUAAAUACCUGGUUUGCUUUCAACUUCACUCCAUCUGUCUGACUCUCUCUAUCAAACGAACACGCAGGGGAGUUGUACCCCGGACGAGAGGUGGGAGUAGCCCACCUUUCAUUUUCAUUUCUACAACAAUUUGGUGACCCCGACCUCUGAACGAGUCUGACGAAGGACAGCAUCCGGCACUGAUCCACUCACGGCCGAACUUAACAAACCAGGUAAGCAGAGCCUGUUUAAUCAAAUUCUGCAUAUUGGCUAUUUCAAAUUUGAGUGGAGCGGCGCUCUGGCUGCUGUCCGGAGGAGAGCAGGAAGCAUACCAAGCUAUUUAUAAAAAAGAGUAGAUGCUGUUCCUACUCAAGGGUUUAUAAAAAAGAGUAGAUGCUGUUCCUACUCAAGGGUUUAUAAAAAAGAGUAGAUGCUGUUCCUACUCAAGGGUUUAUAAAAAAGAGUAGAUGCUGUUCCUACUCAAGGGUUUAUAAAAAAGAAGUAGAUGCUGUUCCUACUCAAGGGUUAAGGAUUGGAUGCUGGCGUCUCCCCCCGGCUUCUGACGAGAAGUUCGGAUAAAGGCCAGGUGUAAGGCUCACCUCGAGAUUGAUCCGCUCAUAAACAAGCCAGAGUAGACGCUGUACCUACUCAACUCUAUUUUAAUUCGGUUAAAAAGAGCAGAAGUUGUCCCUGCUCGGGUAGACGAAGUACACUACUUCUCUAUUUUAAUUCGGUUAAAAAGAACAGAUGUUGUCCCUGUUCGGGUAGACGUGUACCUACUUCUCUAUUUUUAUUCGGCUGGAAGAAAUAACAAAACAAAUAAAACGGGGUAUACAUGGCAGUAUAAACUAUAAGUUUGAGGGAAGUGAGUCUGUGGCCAAUAAGUGUGAGAGAGUAUGCGUGUGUAUGUGUGCUUAUUCCAGGGACUGAGUGUGUCUGACUUUGUGAUUGUGUAUGUGCGACUGACAGAGAGAAAAAGAAAAGGGUCUACGAGUGUCUGUUACAGGGAUUAAAAGUGUGCAUGUCCAGUUUUCCUGUGAGAGAAACAGAAAAUGUGUAUCUUGUGUGGCAGCGAAUUAAAGAGUGUGUGUGAGACAGAGUGCGUGAAACAGAAGUGUGUGCGUAUGUGUUGGAGUGUGUGUGAAACUGUGUGUGAGCGGGGCUCCUGCGAGCGAUGUGAUUGGUUGAGUGUACGAACUCUUGUGUGUCAACGAAAUAGGAAUGGAUGAGUCCCACUGCAGGGGAGGAGUCCAAGGUGAAGUAGGUGGAGUUGGUUCAGCCUAUUGGUUUUAGACUGAGAGGUUGGUUAUUUGUGAAUUAACACUUGUGAGAUAUCAUAGAAAAUAGAACAUCAGUUCAGUAGGGAAAUAGAGUAAUACACAGUGAAAAUGGGGGACAGAGGUGAACAGGGGGAAAAGGUUUUUGUAUGGAUAGAAACAUAUAUAUAUAUAUAUAAGAAAAUA